AUUCUGCUGGUUUCUGCUGAGCCCAGUUGAACUCUUCUCAUGUUCCUCCAGCAGCCACAACUAAAGUACUGUAUCAGGACUGCCUUGGAACAUGAAACCAACUUACCGCUGUACUUUCCAUCUUGGAUGCUGAAGUUCUAGGGUAGGGUUGUCAGUAAAAUGCAGGACACCCAGUUAAAUUUAAAUUUCAAAUAAAUAAGAAAUAAUUUUUAGCCAUUAUUAUGGAGUUGUAGACCUGGUGUGGGGAGUAUGGGGAUCAACCUCAGAAGCCUCCAGAGAGAGAUUGGUGGACUCUAGGAGUGUCGAUCUCAGACUGACCAUCGCUGGGGCCACAUCCAAGCAGCAGCCCUUUGUCCAGAGCCAUUUCCUCCACUGGCCUCAGUUUCUGUAGGGCCCAGAUGGUGCUGAAGUCAGAUGCCAAGGGGAAAGUGACUUUACCCACGAGAGAGAUUUUUAAAUAUUCCCCCAACUGCUCCGAUGGGACCGUCUAGUUACAGGAAAACAAGCUCAAGGCUCCCACUGAUUCUACAUUACGUGGUCAUGACUUUUGGCAAGAAAGUUGGAGAUGUGACCAGCUGCACAUGACUUUACCUAAAAGCUUGCUAUGUAAAGGACACUUUCUGGAGAGUGGGUGUAGGAAUUCACUGUCUCACUGCUGCCCAAGACAGCACUACUGUUUGUAAGCCCCUAUUAAAUAUUUCUUUCUGAGAAAGUGGAUUUGUCAGCCUCUGUUUUUGGCCUUCAGCUCCCUUGGCCUUUGUGGGUAGGUUUGUAUAUACCUGCUCACUGCAGAAAAAUAUUCUACUCCAGUUUGUGAUAUAUUUGGGUUUACAGAUAGUCUGGUUACUGGAGUUUGAACCCAGUUCUGACUCCAAUGCUCAUGAUCUUUCACUCUACCACAUAGUCUUCCAGAAACAAAUCAUAUGUGGUCUCUGCCCUUGAUAGAUUCUCCAUCUAGCAUGAGAGAUGGGUAUAUAAACAAAUGAUUGCUGCAGAAAAUUUAAUAGAAAACUAAGGAAGGUGAUGCUAACUCUACCUGGGCAUGUCAGGGAAAGUAUCACAUAGGAGGGAGUAUUCGUAGUGAGUGUUUCCACCAGGAAAGACAAGCAGAGGGACUUUCCUAUGUACAGUAACAUGCUUCACUCAUAGUUUUAAAAAUUAACGUUCUCACCCUUUUUUCCCAGCCAUCGUUGGUGUCACCAAUCUCCCAUGCUCUCCUAAAAAAUUUUCCUUUUCCCGUUUUUGCACUUCUCCUAUAUAAUUAAUUUACAUGUCUUCUGUUUUCUCUAUACUUACAGCUCCUUGACCAAAAGACCAUGAUUUAUUUAUCUUUGUGCACCUAGCACAGUGCCUUACAAAGACUAGGCAUUAAUAAACACUCAUUGGGCACCUGAAGAUAGGUACAGAUUUCUAGGUAAAGAAACUAGGAUGUGCACAGGCCUUGUGGGCGAUGGAGCAUAGCAUGUUCAAAGGCCUGAAAGACAAGAUCAGAAUGACUAGCUAUUAGGCAGUAGUGGUGGUGGUGGUAAUAGAGGCAGAGUGUUCAGGAAGGUGAUGUUGUAGGGUAGAGUAAUCUGAGAUAAAACUGGGACUGGUUGGAGUUAGACCAUUAGGAUCUUAGAGAACAUGUUAAAGAUUUUGGUCUUCAUCCUAAGAGCAGUAGGAGGCCACGGAACAAAGGGUCAAUGGGUAACACACUGAAAAGUUCACCUGAGCUCCAUUGAGGGGUAAGGGCUGGGGACAAAUACAACAAGGGAAAAUAUAGAAGGCUACUACAGUCAUCCAAAUAUUGGAUGUGGCUUUUAGUGAAGUUUGGAAGAAGUGCCCCUUUUUUAGGAAUACCAUACAGAAAAGUCACAUAUUUGAACAUAACUACUUGCCUAAUCCUUUUAGGAUUUUCUUUUC
rnacentral:lncRNA from 1 species